CCUACGGGUGGCAGCAGUGGGGAAUUUUGGACAAUGGGCGCAAGCCUGAUCCAGCCAUGCCGCGUGAGUGAAGAAGGCCUUCGGGUUGUAAAGCUCUUUCGGCCGGAACGAAAUCGCGCCCCCUAAUACGGGGUGUGGAUGACGGUACCGGAAGAAGAAGCACCGGCUAACUACGUGCCAGCAGCCGCGGUAAUACGUAGGGUGCGAGCGUUAAUCGGAAUUACUGGGCGUAAAGCGUGCGCAGGCGGCGCGCCAAGUCAGAUGUGAAAGCCCCG
rnacentral:rRNA from 1 species